UCCAAGAAAAGCACAUUCAACAGAUUGUGCACUGAGUUUGGUGCGUUCUUGUGGAGGAAGAUGGACAUAACACACACAACCGAAGACACGGAGAGUUGAGUAAUCUGGCGGCUUUCCAAAUAACCGACUAAAGGGAGAUUCAUUAUUUAUUGACGGGGAUGACAAACUGUUUAUAAGAUGAACUGCAGUAGAUAGGGCUUCACACCAGAAUCGUGGUGGCACAUGAGACUCUAGAAAAAGUGUGCGAACAACAUCAAGCAAAUGGCGAUUUUUUCUUUCAGCUACCCCAUUUUGUUGGGGAGUUGAGGGACAUGAUCUUUGAGAUAUAAUUCCAUUAGAUUGCAAGAACUCUUGAAAAGAAUUUGAUGUAUAUUCUCCCCCAUUAUCAGAGCGAAGAAUUUUGAUUUUAGAUGAAAAUUGGGUUUCAACAUAAGCAUUAAAAAAUUUGAAAGUAGAAAAAACUUCAUCUUUUGAGCGCAAAAAAUAGACCCAUGUAAAACGACUAUAAUCAUCAAUAAAAGUUACAAAAUAUUUGUAAUUAGCAUGAGAUAUAAUCGGUGUCACUCCCCAUACAUCACUAUGGAUGAUAUCAAAAGGUUUUGUUACAUUCGGUUGAUGUGUUGGAAAAGGAAGGAUUUUACUUUUGCCAAGCUUACAAGGAGUGCAAUCAAAACGAAUAAUAUCAAGAGACGGAGUGUGUUUAUUUCCUAGAAAACCAGAUUUUAGCAUUUCAUGAAGCACAUUGAAGUUUGGGUGUCCAAGACGCUUAUGCCACAGUUGAUAAUCAACAGUUGCAGAAUUGCACAAAACAGAAGGUAAAGAAAGACUUGGAGACAAAUGUAAAUUGAGUGGAAAGAGACGUAAGGUGAGGAUUGCCUCCUCUUUAUAAACUCUUCUCAAGAGUCCUAUCUAUCCGAUGUGGGACUAAAUCCCACCGAGUGUUGGCUUCUAACACCCUCCCUCACGCUUCAGCCCAGCGGAAUGGGCCUGAAGCGUGGACGACGGAGGAAGGCGGAAGGCCAACGAUAGACCCGAUAGGCUCUGAUACCAUGUUAAAUUUAAAGAAUGUUAGACUCAUGGAAGUAUUGAUCUGAAAACUGUAUGUUCUCCUCUAGGAGAAGUCUCAUAUAAAUACAAUGUAAUUACAUUUGAAUCAGCCCAAUAAAUCUGUAGCUGUCAUAUCUACAUUUAUUAUACAAUAUAUACUAAUUAAUAGUAGUUACUAUUGUCAAAAUAACAGUUACAAAUGCAUAGCAUUUGAAUUUGCCAUUAAGACAUUCAACCUAUUGACAGUGUGCACAUCAUGUGCAGGCUUUAAUUGGGUUAUCUCUUCUAAGACUCUUUAUGAAUGUGCAACCGUGGCAGAGGUUAUUCUUCAAAAUGACUUCAUUGGGUACCUCUUUUGAAGUACAACUGUAAGAAGUCUGUUAGUGAAAUAUAUGCAGCAGUGACAAAAGCAAAUGACCAAAGCUUAUGAGGUAACUCCGCAUAGUGUAGAAAGGUGCGGGUUUUAAUAAUACAGCAAUGCGUUCUUUCAUCUGUGACAUUUAGUUUAACGUUCGAUGUGUUGUGAAGUUAGAGGUGUCAUAUUGAGAUAAAAAAAUACGCAAUUUGAUAUACUAUCCAUCAUUAUUUGGAUUUACUGAUUCAAAAGUUGUAUAAGUAUCCGGUGUAUAAGUUAUUUUACUACAGUGCCAAUAAUAUGUAGAUCUUUAUUUUUCAUUAAUUUCAUAGUGUAACGCUUUCUAGAACACAUAAGAUGACAACUUAACAGUAUUUUCUAAUGAUUAAGUGAUCGACAGGUUUAAGUCUCUGCUGCAUCAAAGAAAGUUCACCCUAGACCCUACAUAUGAUUCAACUGAAAUCUUUCAACAUCGUGUCUAGUUCAAUCUUCUUGCAUCAUGUCUAUGUAUAUUUGUUUUCGAAUAAUUGGGAUAUUGUUCUUAGAUUGUGUACAAAUUGGUGUUGACGUUUGUACACAAUCAUGUCACGCAUCAUCUGCUUUUGAGUUUUCUGUGGAGAGAUAGCCAAUAAAUAUACAGCAAGCACAUGUUCUCAUAUUUCCCAUUAAACUAGUAAUUUUUUUUAUUUGUGUGUAUUUGUUUCUGGAUUUGGGAUAUAAUAACUGGAUUUUGGAGAAUAACUUGGUAUAGGGGGAACCUAAUGGAGCACAAGAAUCGGCAAUAGUCUAUUGUUGUUACGCUUUCAUUUGGUGAUCGCUACUCUUCAAUGAAUUCUUCACGCUUCUUUGUCUCUUUUGAAGAUUUGAUUCUUUCACGAGUUCCAUUUGGGUUUCACAGGGUGGAUAUGUACUGUGAAAGCUGUGGCGGAGAUUAUCAUGGACGUGUUUUUGGUUUGGUGUACUGGGGAGAGAACUAUGAAUGUACUUGUUCUGAAUGGUGUCCUUUGAUAGUGUAUUAUGACAAUGUUGAUUUUAGUAUUAGGAGAGCUUCAGUAUAUAUGGUUAUGUCGUACAUGUCCAUGUCUCUCUUGGAGCAUAUAUUUGUUCAUUGAUUUUGAGAGAAUAUAUUUAUCGAUUGAUUUGUUAUUUUUCUCUUUGGUUUUGCAGGAGAGGUAAUCUACAUGACUAACAAACCAAAGGAAAUUGUUGACAUUGAUGCUGGUGAUGCUAACAAUGAACUUGCUGCUGUUGAAUAUCUUGAAGAUAUUUACAAGUUCUAUAAGAUAGUUGAGAAUGAGAACCGUCCACAUGAUUACAUAGACUCACAGCCUGAGGUUAAUGACUUUGUAACCCUCUCAGAUUAUGCUUACACUCAUUAACAAAUUCUUAUCAUGGAGAAAACCAUCCUAGGCAAACUUGAAUGGACAUUAACUGCCUACACCUUUCGUGUUCCUUGCCCGUUUCAUCAAAGCGGCAUCGGCAUCGGUGUCAUCUGUGUCUGGUGUUCCUUCUGAUCAAGAACAAGAACAACCUUUGGAGAACAUGGCUCAUUUUCUAUCUGAAUUGGGGAUGAUGCACUAUGCUACCUUAAAGUAUUGUCCAUCAAUGGUUUCUGCUGCAGCAGUUUUUGCAGCAAGGUGCACUUUGAACAAGAGUCCUGUUUGGAAUGAGACGCUGAAGAUGUACACUGGUUACUCAGAAGAACAGUUAAUGGAUUGUGCUAAGUUGUUGACUAGUUUUCACUCUAGUAUUGGGAAUGGAAAGCUGAAGGUUGUGAGGGUGAGAACAACACUGUUUGAUUCUACCCUCAAGAAUUAAUCAUACAAAAAAUCAACAACAAGGAGAGAUUCUCAAUGGCUUCAAGAAUUGUUCCUCAACAACAACCUAGCGAUACAAGCUUGUGCCAAUGUUCCUACUGCUGCUGUUGAUGGAGUUGCAGCAGUGGCUAAAAGAGUGGCCCCUAAACCUGCUGUUCAGAAGAAAGUCACUGCAAAACCAAAGCCUGUUGAAGUCAUUGAAAUCUCAGAUGAAAAGGACAGUGAAGACAAGACUGUGCACAAGAAAAAGGAAGCAGAUCUUAAUUCUAAGAAGAAACCAUCACACACUCUUACUUCUGUUCUCACAGCCAGAAGCAAGGAAGAUUGGUUCUUCUGUUAUGAACCAUGUACCGAUUCAACGAAGUACAACUUGUUCAAGGCAUAGAUGCAGUAGAAGCUGAAAUCAAGAGGAUGGUAAGAGUUUAGUUGUAUACAUAUGACUUUGACAUAAAGAUGUGUUAUGUUAUGGAUCAUGCAUUUUAAUUCAUUUUUCCUAUGUAUAUGAUUCUUUAUAAAUAAUGAAUUUGCAUGUUCUUUUUAGUAGUUUUUGUAAUGAGUAUGUAUGUACUAUUAGGAAUUUGAGUAUUAGGAGAGCUUUAGAAUUUAUGGUUCCACUGUAUUUCAAGAAGAGGAGUUGAAUAUAUAUGAUUCUGGUGUACAUCUCUUAGCUUGGCUAUUAUGUGAAUUUUAUGUUACGUCAUUCACAUUUAUUGGCUCCGGAUAAGUCUAAAUUCGUCGUAGAUUAUGUCAUUGAAUCAUCUGUACGUUUUUUCUAGGCUUUGAUCUGAAUUUAUGUGUUGAAACAAUUAAGGUCGUUAUAAUAUCAAGCGAUGAGUUAAGUUUAAUAUUAAUUCUUAUUGUUUAUUCUUCCCAAUUUACAGAAAGAAGUAAAUAUAUGAAUGUUUGACUAUGCCGGGUAUUAUAAUCAGUUGGGGGUUUACUUCCCUUAAUACUAUAUUUUUCUUACAGAUUCUUUUCCUGCAUUUGUUUUAUUAAGUUUGUAUCGUUCUUGAGAAUCUGUGUAUGUUUUAGUUUUGUGCAGUGGCCUAAAUUGUGUCAUUUCAUAUUGACGGAAAAUCGUUGCAAUGAUCCAUCGGGUCCGUCGAGUAAUUCCCACUGUUAAAUUGCUUAAAUUUGGUCAUUUCUAGUAAGACUAAAUUGUGCCAUUUCAGUCUUUGUUUGAUACUUGGCUUGACAUCUAAUUUUGCAUUUCUUUUGAGUGUUUUGUGUGGUUGUUGGAUGGCUUAUGAAUGCUUCGUGUGCUUUGAAGCCAGUGGAAGACUGAGGUUAACUACUUUCCAUUUAAUUCAGGUUUGGGAUCUGUCAUGUUUUUACUUGUUGUGUCCUGCUAGUCUUGGUGAUUUUGUGUUUGUGCAUGAGGAACAUUAGAGCUGAAGCAUAUAAGAUUCUAAAGUAUAUCUUUUCUCCCUCCCCUUGAAUGAGGAAUUCUACAUUGAAUUUUACUUAAGCUGCUUUGGUGCUUUAUUUGAUCUGUCUGUGGUAUAGGUGGGGGACCUAAAUUUUGUACCGUUUCACAUAGAGGACCAGAAUCUCCAAUUGGUUGUGACUUGUGACAUAUGUUCGCAUUAUUGUUAUGCUUUCAUUUGGUGAUCUCCAAUUGGUUGUGACUUCUACUGUGUGGUAGUUCUUCAUAGCAUGGCUCCUCGAGAUUUGAUUAUUCUAUCUCUAUUUUAUUCUAUCUUUCUCAUGAUUGUAUAUUAUAUCUCAUUGGUGGCUAUCUCAGAGUUUAUUGUACCUUGAAUAAGACUCAACGUUUUUUUGCAAUG